AGCAGUCGCCGCGGUAAUACAGAGGGUGCGAGCGUUAAUCGGAUUUACUGGGCGUAAAGCGUGCGUAGGCGGCUAAUUGAGUCGGAUGUGAAAUCCCCGAGCUUAACUUGGGAAUUGCAUUCGAUACUGGUUAGCUAGAGUGUGGGAGAGGAUGGUAGAAUUCCAGGUGUAGCGGUGAAAUGCGUAGAGAUCUGGAGGAAUACCGAUGGCGAAGGCAGCCAUCUGGCCUAACACUGACGCUGAGGUACGAAAGCAUGGGGAGCAAACAGGAUUAGAUACCCCUGUAGUCCCUGUCUCUUAUAU
rnacentral:rRNA from 1 species